GACCCGGUCCGGGCCCCUCUGGCGCAGGCCUGUCUGGCCCCUGUGCGAUGUCGGAUCAUCAGC
rfam:Roseomonas sp. M3 M3_S294_L001_R1_001_(paired)_contig_1, whole genome shotgun sequence.